UGGACCCGAGAGGCAGGCGCUCAAUCGGUGGAGAGUUGGACUCGGACGGAAGUGAUGAGAGUGAAAAUACCCACUGUGGCAGACUUGAAGAAAACGCAUCAGUCCACCUCGACUGGACUCUGAAUCCUGCAGUUUUACCUGCAGCCGGGGAAGGGAAAUUGCGUGUUCACAAUGCACCUCUUGACGUCUGUGACUCUGUGAAGAUUAUUUCCACCAGAUGCUGAUACGGCCGUGUUUGAAGUGGAGAUGAAUGAAGUUCCUCUGGUUAAUGAGGCGGUUGUAAUGCAAUAAAGCAGAUCCUCUCA